UCUUUCCCUGAGAUUUCGCCCUCCCAACGUGACCGGAGACGCUCAGUUCACGGAUGCAGUUGGUACUCCCAAGCUAGUUUGAUGUGGCGCGCUGGAUCCGGGAAGAGAACGGACUACAGCUCCCAGGAUCCCCUUAAGAUGGGCUUUGGGCUCCGGGCGCAUAGCAGAAAGGGGCCCAUGCCAGCCUGAGAGACUAUCCCCACAUAUCUGCAUACUGCUGAGCAGACAUGGUGUUGUUGGUGAGGCUGGCUUGUGGUGGGAGGCCCUGGUUUCCUGAUGUUCAGAGAGCCAGCCACACCCUUUGCCUGCCGUGGACUUCCCUUUCUUCCUUCUUAUUGCCUCUGCAGCCCUUCUGUAUUUUCCCAGUCGAACUGCGUGAGGGCCCCACACACCCUGGGCUUGGUAAGCUGCAGGACCUGCUGGUCGGGCUCUUUGUGGCAAGACAGGGCCACUCCUGGGUGCUGUGGAGUCUCUAACCAGCCCAAACUGGGCUAAGAUGGACUACUUGACCUCUAGGAUGGAUGGGUUGGUCUCCAGGAUGGCCACAAUGAUCCUGUCAAUGUAGUCCUGCAGGCGGAAAUUGAUCUCCUCCUGCUUCUGGAUUGCUUCCAUGAGCUGCAGGAAAGCAGAGGGUCAAUGCAGGGAAAGGAAGGGGCCUGUACAGGAGAAAGAGGCCUAGGGUUAUACCAAGGCGGGGCAAGGUACCUCAUCUCGGGAGACAGAGCUGAUUUCUGCAGCCAGUGAUUCUGAGAAAGACGUG
rnacentral:lncRNA from 1 species